GAGGCGGUAUCCGUCCGGAACCGCACUCCGCACGCAUCAGUAGAUUGAUCGAUCGAAUACGACGAACCGUUCGCUUGAGAACGCGCACUCUGCUCUGAGCCGUUAAGGACCGAGACAGAAGG
rfam:Paenibacillus darwinianus strain Br genomic scaffold scaffold4, whole genome shotgun sequence.